UCACUGUCACGUGCCCACCAAUUCGUCAACGAGUGGGAACUUAAGUGCAUGGUGAUGGCCAGCUUCUCCCCGCAAGUCUUCCUCCUCUUCUUCUCCGGCUUCCGCAAGCGCUACUCUUCGCGAGUACUCAGCGUGCUGCUGUGGCUGGCCUACCUAUCGGCCGACUCCCUCACCGUCUACAUCCUCGGCCGCCUCACCCUCCGCGGCGGCAGCGGCAACAACCAUCUGGCCCUCUUCUGGGCGCCAUUCCUGCUGCUCCAUCUCUGCGGGCAAGAGACCAUGACAGCCUUCUCCAUGGAGGACAACGCGCUGUGGAAGCGCCACCUUCUCAGCCUCGUCACCUAGGUGGCCAUGGCCACCUACGUCGUCAGCAAGCAGCUCAGCGGAGCCAACGAUGACCAGUGGCUCGUGGCGCCCAUGGUGCUCGUGUUCGUUGCCGGGACGGGGAAGUACGCCGAAAGGAUCUGGGCACUCAGGAGAGCUGGCUCAGUGGCGCCUGGAACGAGCCGCUCUACCUCAAAACUCGUUUCACGUGCGUCCAACGAUGCUGUCUGGGACACACAGGGGUUCUACGGUCAGCUGCGCAUUGUGAUUUGCAAGAAGCAGGAGAGGAAUUUUGAGGUCAUCCUGGAUGUGGCGGCUCAGGCCUUCAAACUGAGCCUCCACUUUCUCAUGGACAUGACCCCUUCAAUCUCUCUGCUCCCUGAAGAUACCAAGGACAUCAAGCAGGCCGUAGAGGUAUUCCAAUCUUCAGAGGACAGAGUCCACAUGGGGUACAAGCUGGCUGAGAUCAACCUCUCCUUGAUCUAUGACUACAUGUACACAAAGUUUGGCACGCGCCAUUUCCACAUGCUCCCAUUCUGCAACGUCUUCCAUAGGAUCGUUGCUCUUGCGCUGCCAUCGGUGGCGCUUGGGUUGCUCGUGAGGGGAAUGAUGACCGGUGGUGGUAGAAAGGGGCAUGUCCAUGACAAAGAUGACGUCAUCAUAUGUUACGUGCUGCUUGUCGGGGCCGUCGUAUUGGAGACAUGCUCAAUCUUCAUGUCAUUUAUCUCUUCAUGCUGGGCAUACAAGACCAUCAUUUCGUGUUCGCUAACUUGCCCAUUGUGCCGAGAUAUUCCCGGUGCAAUCGCAGGGUUGCUCUGGUUAGCCAUGCAUCUUCAUCCAGGAAACAAAGGAGAGUGGUCGGCGAAAAUGGCACAGUACAACAUGAUCCAAGGAUGCAUCAAGGAGAAACAAGAAACUGGCUUGUUGCGGCGGGCCAUGCGUUGGCUUGGUGUCAUCGGUGAGCCCCGGGCCAUCACGCAUACCAGCAUCUCUCCUGAGCUCAAGAAGCUCAUCCUUGAUAAAUUGCUGGACAUAGCAGCCACCCCACGCGUCCAGGAAUGGGACAUUGGCGUUGGCAAGUUCCGUGGCCAGCGGGCGCAAUGGGUGGUUGAAACGAAGCAAGACCGUGCAAAUCAUCAUAAGGUUUUGCAGAUCUGUAACAUCCAAGGUUUGGAGUUCGUGUCGAGUGUGCUUCUCUGGCACAUUGUGACGGACAUAUGCUUGCUCACCGCAGAGGAUGUACAGGGCAGCUUGUCGGAGCGAGGCCCUAUCAGAGAGCUGUCAAACUACGUCAUGUACCUCGUUGCAGAAUGCGGAACCAUGGCCGGCAGUGAAGGUCAUUAUGUGGUGACUAAGGGCCGGAAAGAGGUGUCACGCUGGCUGCUUGAGAAGCACGGAGGAGGAUCUGAUGAUCGGAGGAAGGUGAUCGAGGAGAUUCGUGACGAGGACAGCUCCUUCUUCCAUGAAAACUACUACCCCGUGCUGGAUCGAGCUCGCCGGGUCGCCUCGGACCUGCUUAAGGUUGGAGAAGCGGGCGACCGUUGGGAGCUCAUCUCAGCGGUGUGGUUAGAGAUGCUUUGUUACAUCGCGUACAACUGUGGGGCUGCGUUCCACGCCAAGCAUCUGGCCACCGGUGGCGAGUUUGUCACGCAUAUCAAGAUGCUUCUGUUUAUGGUAGGCGUGCCUUUUCUCAAGGAUCUUAUAUCUUAUAUCUUAUAUCUUAUAUCUUAUCUUAUAUUUACUAAUUGGAGGCAUCAUUAA
rnacentral:rRNA from 1 species